rnacentral:lncRNA from 1 species
CUAUUGUCAGUGAGAAGAUUAUCCUGGGUGUGACUGUUCCAUCGUUGGCUGUCGUCAUUGAGAAGGUGUCCGUGAGAAGGUUGUCUGUGAGAAGGUUAUUCUGGGUGUGAUUGUUCCAUCGUUGGCUGUCGUCAUUGAGAAGGUUGUCCGUGAGAAGGUUAUUCUGGGUGUGAUUGUCCCGUCGUUGGCUGUCGUCAUUGAGUAGGGGAAAACCCAGCAGGUGGAUCAGUUUAAAGAAGUGACUGUGGGGUUGGACAGGCUCUACUCCAUCCCUUCAACCAGCUUGCAGCAUCAGGGCACCUACCAGUGUGAGAUCUACUCAAGCCAGCGCUCCAUUGUCAGGCUUUACUACUAUCUCAGAGUGACCCCCCAGGUUGUGGCAGGCCACACAGAGCUGCAGGAGAUAUUCGACCUGUCUCUGCUCCCAGGAGGGCGGUUACUCCCUGCGCCUGGUGGUUCGGCCCGCUCCCUCCUCCUCCUCCCCUCGCCGCUGCUUCUCACCGCCUGUUUAACUGCUUUGCUUCUGCUGCUGUUCCUCUCCCUGGGAGUUCUGUAUUGGUCAUCUAACCAUGAGCAAACGCAUCAUGCUGAACAUGCAGAUGAUGAUGGAGAUGCAGAUGCAGAUGUAGAUGAGGAUGCAGAUGAGGAUUUGGGUUUCUGAGAGUUGGGAAGAUGCAUAUAGUGCAAUAAAAGCAUUUCAUCAAGCCUCUGGCCUUCUAUAGAGCCUUACAUCAUAGUGUGACUCCUUUCCCCACUACAGGGCAGGAAGCUAAUCAGUGGUGUCCAGGCAACACUGAACUGUCUGAAGCAACCGCAAUUAUUCUUAUUUGUGUGUGACAGUGAUGGAGAGUAACUAACUAGAUUUACUCACUUACUGUAAGUAGAAUUUUGAGGAGCUUGUAGUACAGAAAUAUUGUACUUUUAUCUGACAGCUAAAGUUACUAGCUACCGUACAUAUUUUGAUUUUGCAUACAAAACACAUGAGGAGCUUUAAAAAUGUUUUUCAUUACACUGCCAACAGUGAGUAGUUGACAUAAGCUCCACUUCCACAAACUUCGACAAAUACGC